ensembl:lncRNA
UGUUAGUUUGUGGAUGUUCAUUCCUAUUUUAUUUUCUCCAGACUGUUUGGGUCCUGUGUUUGGGUCCUGUGUUUGGGUCCUGUGUUUGGGUCCUGUGUUUGGGUCCUGUGUUUGGGUCCUGUGUUUGGGUCCUGUGUUUGGGUCCUGUGUUUGGGUCCUGUGUUUGGGUCCUGUGUUUGGGUCCUGUGUUUGGGCUGGUCAGUUUAUGCGCCUUCUGUUUUUGGCUUGACCGUUUGUACCGGAAAUAAAUACAAUUAUUCGAACCCUCUGCUCUCUGCGCCUGACUCCAAACCCACUACUCCUAGAAGACUCUGACACUAAAUGUAUAUUGUUUUAUGAUUAUAACAUCUAAUAUUUCAUAUUUGUGAAAAUGGCGGUGUUUGGCACUUUCUCCCUUUUAAAAGUAUUUCUAAAACAGAAAAUGGUCACAGUUCAAUGGAUGUCAAUCAACAAAGAGGACUCGGUCACAGCAGCCAUCUUCCUCCCCCCUGACCUCUUCAAUGAAGAUCCCAGCGGUCUCUACGUUCUGGACAAGACUUCAACCCCCCCCCCUCCCUACACCUCUGAUGAAUAUAACUGGAAACCCGUUCAAUCACCAUGCACUGCAAAAUCAUUCUGACUAGGGAGACGAAGGUUAUCAACACAUUAACACGCCAGAGGAUAUACUGAUUGAACUUUAUCUCAUAUUUAGAUGUUUGAAUUCUGCUUUGCC